rnacentral:rRNA from 1 species
UACGUAGGGUGCAAGCGUUAAUCGGAAUUACUGGGCGUAAAGCGUGCGCAGGCGGUUGUGCAAGACCGAUGUGAAAUCCCCGGGCUUAACCUGGGAAUGGCAUUGGUGACUGCACGGCUAGAGUGUGUCAGAGGGGGGUAGAAUUCCACGUGUAGCGGUGAAAUGCGUAGAUAUCUGGAGGAAUACCGGUGGCGAAGGCGGCAUCCUGGACCGACAUUGACGCUGAUGAGCGAAAGCUAGGGGAGCAAACGGG